rnacentral:rRNA from 1 species
AGAGUUUGAUCCUGGCUCAGAGUGAACGCUGGCGGUAGGCCUAACACAUGCAAGUCGAACGGCAGCACAGGAGAGCUUGCUCUCUGGGUGGCGAGUGGCGGACGGGUGAGGAAUACAUCGGAAUCUACUCUGUCGUGGGGGAUAACGUAGGGAAACUUACGCUAAUACCGCAUACGACCUACGGGUGAAAGCAGGGGACCUUCGGGCCUUGCGCGAUUGAAUGAGCCGGUGUCGGAUUAGCUAGUUGGCGGGGUAAAGGCCCACCAAGGCGACGAUCCGUAGCUGGUCUGAGAGGAUGAUCAGCCACACUGGAACUGAGACACGGUCCAGACUCCUACGGGAGGCAGCAGUGGGGAAUAUUGGACAAUGGGCGCAAGCCUGAUCCAGCCAUACCGCGUGGGUGAAGAAGGCCUUCGGGUUGUAAAGCCCUUUUGUUGGGAAAGAAAUCCAGCUGGCUAAUACCCGGUUGGGAUGACGGUACCCAAAGAAUAAGCACCGGCUAACUUCGUGCCAGCAGCCGCGGUAAUACGAAGGGUGCAAGCGUUACUCGGAAUUACUGGGCGUAAAGCGUGCGUA